GAUGAACGCUGGCGGCGUGCCUAAUACAUGCAAGUCGAGCGAACAGACGAGGAGCUUGCUCCUCUGACGUUAGCGGCGGACGGGUGAGUAACACGUGGAUAACCUACCUAUAAGACUGGGAUAACUUCGGGAAACCGGAGCUAAUACCGGAUAAUAUAUUGAACCGCAUGGUUCAAUAGUGAAAGACGGUUUUGCUGUCACUUAUAGAGGGAUCCGCGCCGUAUUAGCUAGUUGGUAAGGUAACGGCUUACCAAGGCAACGAUGCGUAGGCGACCUGAGAGGGUGAUCGGCCACACUGGAACUGAGACACGGUCCAGACUCCUACGGGAGGCAGCAGUAGGGAAUCUUCCGCAAUGGGCGAAAGCCUGACGGAGCAACGCCGCGUGAGUGAUGAAGGUCUUCGGAUCGUAAAACUCUGUUAUUAGGGAAGAACAAAUGUGUAAGUAACUAUGCACGUCUUGACGGUACCUAAUCAGAAAGCCCCGGCUAACUACGUG
rnacentral:rRNA from 1 species